ensembl:lncRNA
ACAGAGCCUGCCGAGUGCAGGCCACAUCACCAGCAACGGCCUUAAUGAGCUCUGGGCUGGACUCUCCCAAUUGAAUUACAUAAUACAUUUCCGUUUCAUUUCAUGAAUCACGACUUGGGAUACAAUGUUCCUGGGUUGCAGUUGAUAUAUUUCAGAGAUUACCAAAGAUUUCAAACAGAAAAAAAGAUCUAUUUUAUUAAACUCAUAUGUAAAAUGUCUGUAUGUCAGCCAACUUAUUUAUUUUCAAAUUUGGGAUUUUUGUAAAUGUCAUCGUUAGACAAUGUCAAGAGAGUUCCCGAUAAACCCAUUAAUGAAUGGUAUGACUGAAGCGGCCCCUGGACAUUUCAUUUCUCUUGACAACCAGGUUCCUGCUUGAUGAUGGUGGCUUUUAUUUCAACUGCUUCUGUUGGGUGAAAGUGAGGAAAAUAUGGCAAACCUCAAAGCAUGGACCAGGGGGAAGUCAGGCUCAACCAGACUGUUCACGGGCAUAUGGUCUGAGAUGAUCCAUCAUGGUCUAUGAUGUCAGAUUAUCCACUGAGACUUGGGACUCUGCAGAAAUAUAGUUCUGUUCAGAUAAUGGUAUUUCCAGUUGUUGUGAUGGACAAGACCGACGCUGUGGAAAACAGACUGGUAGGAUACCAGAUGACAGACGCACAAGGCAGGCAGAAGAACAAGGCAUUGUGAACUGAGCCGUAGAGGACAUUGUUAAAAAACCAAGCUGCUCUUCUGACUCCUAAGAAUGGUGAUUUCUUGGCAGAUCUAUAUGUUGUUUUCCACCCUAGACUAGCAACUCAAUCUCCAAGGAAGAACACAAGGAAUCAGGUUUUAACAGGGACAUCAUCACUGGGCCAGCUGGAAAGCCUGAUCUAAAUCAAUCACAAGAUAAUAUAUCUGAACACCAUCCUGCCUAUGUGAAGUUUGUAUGCAACAAACAGGAUUAAUUUAACUCCUCAGGGAGUUUAGAUUCCCUUCGCAAAUUAUAUGCAACACAUAUAUGUAUGUGUACUAUGUGUAGUGUGUAUAUUUAUGUGGUAGUACCCAUGUACAUACUCAGCUGUACUUUUCAGGGUUUCAGUUAUCCAUGGUCAACCAUAGACAGAAUGCAUUCAAUGGAAAGUUUUAAGAUAAACACCUCAUGCGUCUUCAGUAACUUUCAUGGGACUGUAUAUUUAUGACUAUUCUUUCUUGCCAUCAUCUAUUACUGUUAAUCUCUUACUGUGCAUAAUUUAUAAAGUUCACAAUUGGAGUGUAUAUAUAAAGCAAACAUCACAUCUAGAGGACGUGGGUAUCAUUUGUGCUUUCAAGUGUCCACUUAGAAAAUGCCUAUGAAGACACAUAAGUAAGAAGAGAUCACUGUGUAUGCGCAUAGGAUUAGACAUAUAUACACACACAUACUCAUACAUACACAUUAAAAAUGAUAAACUAUCAUACAGCUUCACUGCUGAAAGAAAUAGGGCAAUAGGAGCAAAAUACACAAGAAAAAAAAAGAUCCCCCAAAAGUUAGGAUCUUUUUCUUGGAGGAAAACAGCUGUUUCUUAGAGAAGUUUAUACAGGCAUUUUCAGUACUACUUAUGGAUAUAUUCAAAUAGCCACAUGAGUCAAAUAAAUUGUAUAGCAAACCUCCCCCCCUAUACCUGUCACUGAUUUUGAAUAUGACUUGCCCACCACCCACCCUUCCCGGUGCUCCUCCUGGAAACCUUUUAAAGCAGGCCACAGAAGCCCUGUACUGGCCACAUGUUUAUUACACUUCUAGGGCAGGAUCACAGGAAUGUUUACUUCAUUUCUACACCUGCCCUGUAGAAGGAGUGCAGACCACAAACCACGGUUCAAGUAGCACUGUGUCAAAGCUCAUGCCAAAGGGCUAGGGUGUAGCUCAGUAGUAGAGCUAGUAUUGCCUAGCAUGUGUGGGAACCCGCAUUUGAUCCCCAGUCCUGGAAAAUUAAAGAAGUAAAUAAAUGAAUAGGCUCAGCAGGGGCUGUGGUGAAGAGGAUUCCAAGCAAGAAACAAGUGACAAGAAAAUGAAAAAGCUCCCCUGGGAAGAACUAACUUCACUACAGGAAUCUGAACUAUGCCAGGUAUGCUGUGUGUUCACUUCUUUUUUAAUGGCUGUUAUCAUUGUGGCAAGAUGACACCCUCACUUUCCAAUGUAUAGAUGAGGAGACAGAGGUUCUAAGAAGAGAGCAACCUACACAGAGUCUUCUAACUAAAACUGUCAGCCUCUCUCUUGGUAACCCUCCAGAAAUUUAUGGUAGGACUAUGUUUCUUAAUUCUAUAUAUUGAAUCAUAGAACAGGGAGAAGUCAAGUUGGUAUCUGAAAACUUCCCCUUAAUGACUAGUUUUCAUACUGUUGGAAGGUGCCAUGCACACUGCUGGAGGAGAAAAUUAGAUUGAUUUUAUCUGGGUAUGAACCUAGAGAACUAUGAUACUGACCAGCCUGGCAAAAGGAUGCCUGCUAGCACAAUAGUGGCACAAAAAAACAUGGAAGUAAACAACCAUUUUCUGGUUGGAUUUAAGGCUCAUUCUACAAAAUAAAACCCUUACAUGGCAUUGCUAUAGGGGUCAAGAAUCUAUGGCUAGAUAGGCCAUAGGCCCUAGAGGGACCUGCUAACAUUAUUCUGCUAAUGAAACAUAUAUUAAACCAAAUUCUAUCAGUUUAUUGUUAUAUCCACGGACUAGUGCAUCUCUCAAGCCUCCUCAGAAGAAAUGCUUUUCACAACAGAAAGCAAUCACAGAGAUCCCACUAUAUGACUGGUUAGGGCAUAAAGAAUGAGGGACUACAAAAUGCAGAAUUUUAAAAGGCAUCUAUAUUGCAUCCCCUCCUCCUCCAAGGCUCUGGGAUCACUUUAGAAGUGGGGAAGAAAGACUGUAAGAGUCAGUGGUUGUGAAUGACUACAAAGAAAGUGUUUUUUGCUGGCACAGGUUGGAAGUUGAAUAGAUACAAAUACACUAUUUGUAGUUACAGUGUGUGCACGACCUGCACAAGUUCAACCUAGACUAAGUCCCAGAAUAAAGAAGGGUUGUGGUCAUCAAGACUCACCUCUAGCUCAAGAACUAUUGGCAAAUGACAGUUUCUGGGAGAGGGAGUUUUGUUGAAGGGUGUGGCCCUUGGUAGGCAGACCAUACUCAAACGGAAGGUCACACAUUCAAAAAUAGUGUGGGCAGUCAAAUUAGACUUGAUGGGUAUAAUAAUAAUAGUAAUAAUAAUAAUAAUAAUAAUAAUAAUAAUAAUAAAGUUGGGUGGUUAAGGAAGGGGGAAUAUAUCUUGGAGUAGCUGGGGAUGAGGUGAAUAUGAUCAAAAUACAUUGUAUGAUCUUGUCAAAGAACUAAAAUGAAUGAGAAAAUUAAUUAUUUAUUCUUUGAAAAUUUCAUAGAUUUGUACAAGGUAUUUUGACUAUAUCCACUCACCACUUCCUCCUUUCAACUUCCUCUAGUUCUCCCCACCCUAUCUCUUUCCUGUCUCUGUGUCCUCUUUUAUUUUUUAAUGUCAUUGAUAACCUCAUGAGUUCAAUUGAUAAUGCCCGUAGUCACACAGGAAGGACCAUCUCCUGGAUCGUAGGCAAAUAAAUCAUCAGUAGCCGUGUUCCAAAGUUGAGGAUGAAGGCCUGGAAGCAGAGUUGGUGGAAUGCACCCAGGUGGGGACACAGUGUGUAAGGAGAAUAGUGUGCCUUAGACAUAGCAGCCACCAAUGAGAGUCAUGAAAACUAAAGUGGAUAAAGCGAUUAAAUCCUAAGAGAGCCAGGUAACAUAUGAUAGGGAAGUUGCUCACAUAAUCUCAAUAAGAUGGUUGCCUAAACAGGCAUAAUGACAAUACCAGUUGAAACACCAACAGGGAUGGGAAAAAUUGCACACCAGGUCCUAUCCUUAGAUAGAAAAUCAGACCUCUAUAGGGAAAAGUACACUCAUGGGUUAUCCAAUCUGAAGUUGUCAGCCCUAAAUAGAUGUACAUAGGCACAAUACUAAAUAGACUCAGUGUGUUUAUGUAUGUAUGUGUUUUCUCUCUCUCUCUCUCUCUCUCUCUCUCUCUCUCUCUCUUUGUGUGUGUGUGUGUGUGUGUGUGUGUGUAUGUGUGUAAGAAUGGAAAUUAAAGAUGAGGUCAUGGAUUUGAGAGUGGAGACAUAGGAGGAGUUGGAGGGGUAAAUAGGGAGCAGGAAUGAUGUAAAUAUAGUGUUCAUAUAUGAAUUUUUUAAUUUUUAAAAACAUUAAAAAUUUAAAUCAAAUUAAAAAACCGAAGUCCCAAUUUUCCAAUGGUUUAAGAUAAUAAGCACUAAAUACUUCCCCAUCACAAAAUCAAACAACAAAAUCACUUUUCAUCACAAAGUGCUUUAGUCUAACUGACAUUUAUGGAGCCCGCAUUCACUCACUCCGUCAUGAUAUUUUUCUGUUGGCUUAUCAUUUACACAUGAAUCUACUGAUAUUUUCAUUAUCAUCUGCCCCCCAUAUCCUCUUAGUCAGCAUCCCACUGACCACUCAGUGUGGCAGUUCCUGGUGGGUUUAAAUUAAAUCUCCAUUCUUCUAUUUAUCAAUAAGACUCAGAGGUCAAAGGCUCUGGUGAAAACCGGCUAGCUCAGAAAGACUGAGUUGCUUUUUGGCCUGAGACACUACAAGAUACAUGUCUCUUCUCUGUCCCAGAACCAAGAGAGCCCAAAUUCUAGUCCCCACCCUUUCUGUCCUGUGCAUCUUCUCUAUCCAAAUCGCUGGCUUUUCUAUGGCCAGUUCUGGUCAGCUAGUCAUUGGCUCCACCCUCUGAUUCAGGGUAUCUCUUUUGGGCAGUCUCGGAAUGUCAGAGUGCAAUCAAUAUAUCUCACACUAACACAAGUUGCCCCCAUAUUGAGGAGGAAAUCAAAGCUACAGGUUCCAGCAGAAAGUAAGGGGUAAAAGAGAAGGUGCACCCCUUCCUUAGAGACUGGCUCUGUUAAUACCUACCUGGCAAACCUAGAUGCAGGUUCCAGCACAGGUAGGUGGGGGAUUAUAGGUCCCAGUGGGGUAGCUCCCCAAAUUAUGAGUGGGGAACAUAUGUUUAAAUUGCCCCCAGUUGCCUUAGCACCAGGUCCCUCAAAGAUGGUCUUAGUGUAAGGAGAAGGUAACAGGGCAUCUUAAGGUGAGCACAUGGGCCUCAGGUUUUGUGCAAGGGAAUCAUGUUACUAAGUAUAUUCACCUUAGAAAAAUAUGGCAGCAGUGGGAUAAUUCUGAAGGAUGAAAGCAACACAGUAAGAAAGAAAAAGCAACUGUGCCAACAGCAAGGCAAGAGCUGAAGAUGGGUGAAAGCAUGGAGGUGACAAGUUUGCAGACAGAGAUCAUAGGCAGGUUCAAAGGCAGGGAUGACUGGACCAGGGGACAGGAAGACAGGAAGAGCUUACAUAGACAACGGUGGUCUCCAUACCAAAAGGUGAUCAGCAUAUUGACUUCACCUGGGUGAGGCAUGUCCCCAGAGAGCUUUCCUCCUGACUCAUGGUUGCAGAGACAUGAGCCUAAGCCGGAAAGAAGGGGACAUAAGACAUUCGGCUCCGUUUGAUUUGGAUGGAGUCAGAAAAGCAACAUGGAACCUCUGACUUUCCAGGGAGAUUUUCCUGGAUAUGUCCCCAAACACAGUGUCCAUCCAGGCUCCAUUCACAUCUGCAGCAGCUGGACCUCAAGAGCCUGCUGGUGUGCUCUACACCCAUGCACUUGCCAGCAGUGGCCUGAGUUGCCAUCACAGCUGUUUUCACAGGUUUUGUUUGGGAACUCAGUGUGGGGCUUGGGAACAGCUGGGAGUUUCUGAGUAAUUGCAUACCCUGGGGGUGGAGGAAGGCCAAGUACAACAGCGUGUCCUCAGGACCCAUGACAGGGCAGUGUAGGAAAUCAGGUGAGAUGGCUCCUAAGAGUGGAGUUCCAGCCAUGGGGGUGGAGCUUGAAGCUCAGCCCAGAGGCAGAGACAGCAGUCCCUACAACACAAAGUAAGGCACCCCAGAGCCCUACCACACCCAAGGGUCACCUACUACUUCAAGGAAAUGUGGGUAUUUUAAAUGCAUAUUAGUAUCUCCCCUUUGCUAUGCUAGAACUACACAACUUGAAAGUCAAGUAGAAAGAAAAUGGAUGAUCUCCUUUGCUGUAAAAUGUGUUUUUGCUUUAAGAUUCAGAUCAAAUAUCAGCUUUGAAGCUUUCUUUAGCUUUCUUUGACCUUGUUCCUCUCUUCACUCCAGGAAGAUUGAUUGUCCGUUCUCUACAUCCAUGCCUAUUCUACCACCAGUGUAAAAUGUAAUCAUCUCCACUCAACUGGUCCAUGCUAAUUCAUUACUCACUGGGCUCUGGGGCCCUGAGGGUAUACUAGAGAGGAAAUGGGAGGCAGUCUUCUCUGUGGAUGUGAGGUAUCUCUGGCAGGGAUUAGACAUCUCACUCAGGUUGAUGGAAUCAAAUUUAAUCCACCCAAGGAUUUUGCACGCACAUUGGAAAUUUCCAAGAGAUAGGUCAAAAUAGCAAUCUACAAGCACAUUUGAAAACCUAACCUUUUAUUUGCUUUCCCAGGAGAAGGCCUUGGAAUACUUGACUCCGUUAGAUGUCAUUUGAAGUUGUCAGUAAGCCACUUCAUUGAAUGACAUGAUGUGUCCCUCCCCUAUCAUUAAAUUAUGAAUACACUCCACUGCCAAGCAAUGUGAGAUCUCAGGACUACAACAUGUUCCCCAAAAUAUAUCACUGUUAUCAAGGAGAAACCUUCUCUAAUACAAUAAAGAAAGGAAGGAUGCUAGAUGCCUGGUGAAGAUAAUCAACAUGGUUUUCUCCUCAAAUGCCCCAUUUGCAGCAUGAAUUGGUUAAUCUUCCAUCAGAGUACAGAUGGAGUCCACUUCCCAUUACUGUGCAUCUGGAUAGGUUUCAUGAUUGACUUUGUCCAAUAGAAUGCAUCAGAGGUGACUUUGGUGACUUCUGAGACUAGGUCUGAAGAGGUAUUACUGUUUCCUCCACUUUGGAUGCUACACUGAGUCUGCUGCAUAAGAAAUCUGGUCCAAACUACUAGAAGAUGAAAGGGCAUAUGGAAGACAACAAGGGCCCUCCAACCAAGAGCCAACAUCAGCUUCUGAAGCAGUGAGUAAGGCCAUCCUGGGUCUUUCCAUCCCUGUUGCUUCUCCAGCUGAAAGCAGUGACAUGAUCAAGUCCAAGGAAAGCAAAGGAGAGGCUGUUGAGCCAACCCACAGAAUUUUGAGAAAUAACAUUAUUUUUAAGCAGAGCCUAACUGAGCAAGGAAAGCAGACAAGAUUACUUCUAAGAUGCUGUCUACUCAUGAUUCCAAAGCCUCUGUGUAAUGCUAUUGUAAAAAUAUUUUACUAUAGUGAUAGCAAAAUAGAGCAAUAUUCAGAGAAGCAUCUACCAUUGAUUUUGCAAAGAAACUACAUACAGAGGAGAAGCGAGUCACCCAAGUUUGUCAUGAAGUGUUAUAUUGUAGAGCUGAGGAUGUGGUUUUGUUGAUAGGAAUGGCUUUUCUAGCAUUCACAAAGCCAUGGGUUCAAUUCCCAGACUGUAUAUAACUGACCAUGGUGGUAUGAUGGUGCAUGUUUAUAAUCCCAGCACUCAGAGGUGGAGUCAAGAAGACUGACAGUUCAAGUCAUUUUCCACUAUAUGACUAAUUUAAGUCCAGUCUAUGCUGCCUAAGACCUUCUCUCCAACAAAUUAAACUUAAAAUGGUAGAUUUUACAGCAUAGAACCUGACAGAGAGGAACACAAAUCCUGGCCCAUGAUCCAUACCUUCUUAACAGUUUCUCCACACACCUAAAAGAAUGGGUUGGACUGUUUCAUGAAUAGAGAUGCACUCCAUUGUGAAGUUAGCCAGGUCUACACAGAGAAAGGCCCCAAGAAACAGCCCAUUCUAGUGGACUACCCUUCCUAUUGAAUGACACUGACUCUUUCAUGCUUGUUUGGGACCAUGUUCAAAUGUGCAGACUUCAGCUGAAAUCAAGAGAGACUGAAACAGUCAGCCACACUUCAAAUAUUUAUUUUGUAUUCUAACAAUCAAUUUCUCAUCUCUCCUCCCAAUCUUUUUCCACCUGUUUGCAGAAAUAAUUACUAGUGCCCAAUUAUGAGCUCUCUGCCACUUUUCUCUCUGCAUUUCUGAAAGCACUCAGGAAAACUCUUCUCCUGAAGCGUAAGCCAUUACUAACAUAUCGUGGCGUCUGGCGUUGAUGUAGAGCCAAACUGGGAACUUCUGGGUUGGUCUUGGAUUGAGCUGAGGGGAGUUAAAUGUUUGGGGCAGGGGUGGAGUGGGGCUCCAACAAAAUGGCAAAAGUUAACUUCAAAAUGAAUGUCAGAAGAAAGAAUUAGAAGAGACAAUUAAAUAAACACCUGAGUGGAAAUUCCAGGGCUGGUGCCAUCGGCAGAGCAUGCAACACCCAUUUUAGACACAUUCUAAAGACAGUUUCAAUAAGGCAUCUGAGAAGGUGAAUCGAAUAAAUUCCAAAUCUUCAGAACAGGGUGGUUGCUAUGUGGCUUCCUAUGAGUGGACUAUUAAAUGAACUUUAAGGGGAAAAAAAUAAAACCUAGCAGUUUCUCCUGUCAUCGCCCAAUGAAAAAGAAGAGGAAAAGAAUCAGUUAGCCAGCAGAAUGACAUUCAGAUGUUGAAAGGGUGAAACCUGAGCAACACUUCGAAACCUUUGCUAGAAAACAAGAAGCUAGUGUUGAAAGUGAAGACACAAAGGCAAGCACUCUCCGAGGUUUAGCACACAGGCUGUGCCCACACUCUGAUUGGCAUGGACAAUUUGCCUAAGAAAACACAGCGGCCAGAUUCCAGCUAGCACCUUCUCACCUCCAUUUAUAACUGUAAGUGGCAAGGGUGAAGUUGAAAGGGAGAUGAUGGCCAGAACCUUCUCACAUACCUGCUGCUGCCAGCAUAUCUAGAACCAAUGGUUACCUAAGCCUCUCAUUUCAUUCCAACAUGUCUCAACCUACAAAGCAGGUCACACCCACAGAACUGUAGAAGAUUCACUAGCAUACUAGAAUGUCUUUGGUGUCUAGCAUACGUCAAAGACAAUGCAAGUGCUAAGAACAAAAGCCGGCAUCCACCAUCUAUCUAAGACCCAAUCAAUAUUGAUGACUAAGAGUGUUUAGUUUGGAAUAAAUAGCAUGUACAACUGUAGAUGAGACCCAGAUGAUGGAGAGAGCAUUGCAACUAAAAAUGAGAAGACAUGACAAGUUUAGUGAUCUAAUGAUUCCUUAAAAAAAAUUAAGUAUCACUUAAACUCUGGGAAGUCAGUCUCCUGACCCCGAAGCAAGAUAGCUCUACUGCAUGAUGCCUCCAAAGCCCCCUGAAGGUUUGCUGAAGAAAAGGUUGAGCAUCACCCCCUUUUUUGAGCAUCUCUUCUAAUCUACCGCAACUGCUGUAGUCUUCAUCCAAACCACAGUAGAGUUUAGAUAAAAUGAAUUGAACUCUGUCUGACUUUGGGACAAACUGGAUAUGGCUAAGUGUUUGCUAUAUGUUAGCAGAAAUAAAUUCAUUGAAACAAUUCUUGUUCAAGAGGUCAGAAGAUGGGAGGAUAUAGUGAUGCUCUGAUAUCACACAUGCACUCAAGGUUAAAAUAAGAAUCUACCAUAAUUUCUCAGCUUCUUCAUAAUGUGCUCCAUGCCUUUCUCCAAAGUUUUAUCCUGAAAUUAUUAUCCUAAAUUAUUAUCUUAAAAAUCACAUAUUACCUUUUAAUUUUCAUGGAAGAGUAAUCAAAAUAAUCAGUAUAAUUUUGUAGUGUAUUUAAGUAUAGAAAAAUUAAAUGUUAGCUUUUCAUUCAUCUGACAUAAGUGGUGUCCACUGAAAUGUGACUUGAUUUUACUAACUGGAACAUAAAAGUUGUAAGCAUGAAUGGUAUUAAAGCAAACAUCUCACCAACAUUCGACCCUUGGCUCCCUGGGAAAAGAGGUAAUUGGACUCCUCUAGAAAACUCUGGUAC